rnacentral:rRNA from 1 species
AUGAUGUGCUCUGUCACAUGGAUAUUCGAAACCGAGGUACAGAAAGUAGCACAUGUGAUGGAGGACAUGGUGGAUGAGUACUUAUAUCUAGUUGGUCAGGAACAUGAUAUGGGCUCUUGUUUUUACCUGAAAAAGGGCUUCAGAAAAUCCAGAUCUCUGCUUUCUAUGAACCAGUUAGCUUUCAAGGUGAAGGAAAUAGAGAAAGACCUUAGUCACCUAUCAGAGACAAACAAACGUUGGGUUCCCAUGACAAUCAGCGGGGCCACCAGCAGCUGUGAUUACAUUGUCAAGAGGGGCCAAGAUCUAGCAAAUAUUUCACGUUCCCUUGAUGAAGAAGAUCUUGUGGGGGUGGAUGAAAACAGAGAAAAACUUGAGCAGUGGUUGGCAGAUGAUGAUUUGGAACGCUCGGUCAUAGCGCUGCUUGGAAUGGGAGGGCUUGGUAAAACAACUUUAGCUGCAAAUGUCUACAGAAAUGAGAGAAAUAAAUUCCAAUGCCAUGCCUGGGUCUCCAUCUCUCAAACUUAUUCUAGAGAAGCUGUCUUGAGGAAUAUAUGCAAGGAACUUUUGAAAGAUGAUGUCAGUGUUCUAUCUAAAUCUGCAGCUAUGGACAUCACAUGCCUUGAAGAGACGCUGAAGAGUUUUCUGGAGCAACGAAAGUACUUGAUCAUAUUCGACGAUGUUUGGACUCCAGAAACAUUUGAUGAUUUGUCUAGGAUGCUCAUUCAUAAUGAUAAGGGAAGUAGACUGAUAAUCACAACCAGGGAAGGCGAUGUUGCUGCACUUGCCUCUCCACGACAUAUCUUAACACUAGAAGCUUUACCAGAAGAUAAGGCAUGGGAUCUCUUUUGUAAAAAUAUAUUUCCAAAAGAAACAAAUCAUGAUUGUCAUGCGGAGCUAAAGCCUUUGUCCAGAGAAUUAGUUGGCAGCCUAUUUCCAGAAGACUAUCUUCUCAAAAGGAAACAACUUGUAAGGUUAUGGAUAGCAGAGGGGUUCAUCGAGGGGAGGGGUGGAAGCACAUUAGAAGAAGUAGCAGAAGGCUAUCUGAAGGAGUUGGUUGAUAGAAACAUGCUACAACUUGUCGAGAUGAACUCAUUUGGUAGGAUAAAAGAAUUCAAAAUGCACGAUAUAUUACGUGAACUGGCAGUUGAUUUGUGCCAGAAGAACUGUUUUGGCGUUACACAAGAGGCUAAAUGUGAGGGGUCUCUUGAGAUGGAUGGACGCCGAUUGAUACUUGACAAAAUAAACAAUGAUGUUCAACAGUCAUUUUCUGGUUUACACCAACUUCGAAGUGUGAUUACAUCAGGCCAUGGUAAGUCACCAUUCACUCUACUACCUCUCCUAUGCAAGGAGUCAAGAUAUAUGACAGUGCUAGAAUUAAGUGGUAUACCCAUCAAGAAGAUUCCAGAUGCUAUUGGAGAUCUUUUUAAUCUCCGCCAUUUGGGUUUGCGUAAUUCAAAGGUGAAAAUGCUCCCGAGGUCUGUUGAGAAGCUUUCAAAUUUGUUGACAGUAGACCUUUGUAAAUCUGACAUACAUGAGUUGCCUAGUGGGAUUGUGAAACUUAAGAAGCUCAGGCACUUAUUUGUUGAGAAAAUAAUGGAUCCAGAUUGGAGAAACAUCAAUCAUCUCAGUGGUAUGUGUAUCCCCAAUGGACUCGGGAAUCUAACAAACCUGCAAACGCUACAAGCAUUGCAAGUACAGGAUGAGUCCCUUAGACAUCUAGGGGAGCUGAGGCAACUGAAAAGCUUGAGGUUAUUGAAUGUGAAGGGAAUCUACUGCGGACGCAUCAGUGAAUCUCUAGUUCAAAUGCGGCAUUUGUCCUUGCUAUCUGUGAAUGCAAGUGAUGGAAAUGAGGUUCUCUUGUUGAAUGUUCUCCUGCCAAGCCUGCAAAAGCUAAGAUUGAGAGGACGGCUAGCGGAAGCUGACAGAAGACCCCUUGCCAUCCCUUUCUCGGUUGUCAAGCUUGACGCGUCUACAUUUCACUAG